rnacentral:tRNA from 1 species
GGGCCCGUAGCUCAGGGGUUAGAGCAGUCGGCUCAUAACCGAAAGGUCCCAGGUUCAAUUCCUGGUGGGCCCACCA